rnacentral:misc_RNA from 1 species
GAAAUGCGAUAAGUAAUGUGAAUUGCAGAAUUCCGUGAAUCAUCGAAUCUUUGGACGCACAUUGCGCCCUCUGGCAUUCCGGGGGGCAUGCCUGUCCGAGCGUCAUUACGCACCCUCAAGCCCGGCUUGUGUGAUGGGCCCCGGCGUCUCGUUCGCGAGACGGGCCCGAAAGGCAGCGGCGGCGUCGACCCGAUGAGCCCGAGCGUAUGGGGACUUCUGUCACACGUUCGCGGUGCGGACCGGCGCCUGCUUGACUUUUCUGAUUAUCCAGGUUGACCUCGGAUCAGGUAGGGAUACCCGCUGAACUUAAGC